rnacentral:rRNA from 1 species
GACAUAGCUCAGGAUGAACGCUAGCUACAGGCUUAACACAUGCAAGUCGAGGGGCAGCAUGAACUUAGCUUGCUAAGUUUGAUGGCGACCGGCGCACGGGUGAGUAACACGUAUCCAACCUGCCGAUGACUCGGGGAUAGCCUUUCGAAAGAAAGAUUAAUACCCGAUGGCAUAGUUCUUCCGCAUGGUAGAACUAUUAAAGAACUUCGGUCAUCGAUGGGGAUGCGUUCCAUUAGG